AGCAGCCGCGGUAAUUCCAGCUCCAAUAGCGUAUAUUAAAGUUGUUGCAGUUAAAAAGCUCGUAGUUGAAUUUCGGGAUUGGCGCAUCGGUCGUGCCUCACGGGGUAUGAACUGGUGCAGUCAAUUUCUCACCUUCUGGAGAACCGCGAUGUCCUUAAUUGGAUGCCGCGGGGAACCAGGACCUUUACUUUGAAAAAAUUAGAGUGUUUAAAGCAGGCAUUUUUGCUUGAAUACAUUAGCAUGGAAUAAUAAAAUAGGACGGCAUGGUUCUAUUUUGUUGGUUUCUAGGACCACCGUAAUGAUUAAUAGGGAUAGUUGGGGGCAUUAGUAUUCAAUUGUCAGAGGUGAAAUUCUUGGAUUUAUUGAAGACUAACUACUGCGAAAGCAUUUGCCAAGGAUGUUUUCAUUAAUCAAGAACGAAAGUUAGGGGAUCGAAGACGAUCAGAUACCGUCGUAGUCUUAACCAUAAACUAUGCCGACUAGGGAUCGGAUGAUGUUAAUUUUUUCAAUGACUCAUUCG
rnacentral:sRNA from 1 species